GGAGCAGUGGUAGCUCGUCGUGCCCGUUUGCCCUGCCAUCUCCUUGUCGGCGUCUUCAUUCCAAACGCUCUCGAACGGCGGAUGCCGGUGAAACUACAUUGUUACGGACAACCAGGUCGUCGGUUCAAAUCCGACCCGGGCCACCA
rnacentral:tRNA from 1 species